rnacentral:rRNA from 1 species
GUAGGGAAUCUUGCGCAAUGGGCGAAAGCCUGACGCAGCCAUGCCGCGUGAAUGAUGAAGGUCUUAGGAUUGUAAAAUUCUUUCACCGGGGACGAUAAUGACGGUACCCGGAGAAGAAGCCCCGGCUAACUUCGUGCCAGCAGCCGCGGUAAUACGAAGGGGGCUAGCGUUGCUCGGAAUUACUGGGCGUAAAGGGAGCGUAGGCGGAUAGUUUAGUCAGAGGUGAAAGCCCAGGGCUCAACCUUGGAAUUGCCUUUGAUACUGGCUAUCUUGAGUAUGGAAGAGGUAUGUGGAACUCCGAGUGUAGAGGUGAAAUUCGUAGAUAUUCGGAAGAACACCAGUGGCGAAGGCGACUCACUGGCCCGUUACUGACGCUGAGGCGCGAAAGCGUGGGGAGCAAACAGGAUUAGAAACCCGAAGUCC